rnacentral:lncRNA from 1 species
GAUCCUGUUGCAGCGUCGUUCUUCCUGGCCAGUCGAGCGUGCACAAGACUCAUCCCUUUCAUCCUCCAUGGUCUACAAGAGGAUGUCUCCCCACCAACCCUGCUAGGCCUCCCUACUUCCUGGGGCCUCAAGUAUCUUGAGGGAGUUCGUGGGGACUGUGUACCAAAUCCAGAUGUUUCAUCACUGAACUAUGCUUUCAGUCUGCUAAGCAUAACUGUAAGCAUUGGAAAUUGUGACAAUAAAAUUAAAAAGAGAAAGAAAAGAAAAGAAAAAGAAUUCUGAAAUGCAAUAAAAGAAAUCCGAGCUGCUUUGGUACUCCUGGUCAGUUCCCAUGACAUCCAAGGACAUGAGUUACGCCUGAGCCCAGCCUGACAC